CACGUAGGGCGCAAGCGUUGUCCGGAAUUAUUGGGCGUAAAGAGCUCGUAGGCGGUCUGUUGCGUCCGCUGUGAAAACUCGGGGCUUAACCCCGAGCCUGCAGUGGAUACGGGCAGACUAGAGGUAGGUAGGGGAGAAUGGAAUUCCCGGUGUAGCGGUGAAAUGCGCAGAUAUCGGGAGGAACACCGGUGGCGAAGGCGGCUCACUGGCCCGGUACUGACGCUGAGGUGCGAAAGCGUGGGGAGCAACAGGGAGUUAA
rnacentral:rRNA from 1 species